UGGCGGGUGGGUGAAAGACCCGAGCUAACAUGGGGUUAGUUCGUUAAAUUACAAUAAAGCCUCGUGCAGUUUGCAGCAAGCUCUCGAAUCUGCCUGGUGAUUGGGGUGACCGCGAACGUGGCCUGGGACCCCGAAUACUUGAGUUUUCGGGGGUCUAACAGGCUUUGAACUUCUGAUCCUUUUGCCUGUACCUUCGGAGUACUGGGGAUAGCCUACAUGUGCUGCCACACUGGACUUACUAGCUCAGGAUCCAAACCAGAGCUUUGUACAAGCUAGGGAAGUAUUCUACUGACUGGGCUACAGCUUCUACCCCAGAACAGACUUCAAAUAUACCACCAAUUGUGAUAUGCUUCAGAAUAGCAAAAAAUGAAACAAUUCUUAAAAACGUCAAGAAAAGUCUGUUAAUCAAAAAGGAGUGUGUAUCAGACCGGUAAUGAGACUCUCCAGAAAUGCAAAAUGUUAAAAGAGAACCACCCUAAGUUUCUACAGCCAAAGAGCUGUCCAUCGCAGGCUUUGUGUCCCGACUUGACUGACCAUGGACUGUGGGCAGGGAGUUAGUCGCUCCUGAGAUACGAACCAACUUGGGUCGGUGAGUAAUUCCAUCUACUCUGGGCGUGUGACAUCUUCUUACCUGCGGGAUGGACCAGCGUUCAAUCCGUGGAGUUACUGUACCCUGCUGCCCACAGCCCGUUACAGACCCUCAAUCACCAGCCUCAAAGGAGAGCGCCCCAAGACACAGGGAGAAACACCGCCGACAGCCCGGGACUGCGAGCCGCCCACUCGCCCGCCCGCCGGCCGGCACGCGCGGGUUGGAGCCCGGCCAACCCGCAGCGCGCCCUACACACCCCACAGGCGAGCCAGCCUCCCGCCGAGAGACGCCCUCACCUCAGCCCUGGAGACUCGCGCCCUCAGCCAGCCGGCUCGGCCGCUACCACACGCCCGCCUUCCCCGGCCGGGCCAGAUGCUCAUUGGCUACAGCCCCUGCCGCUCAGCGCCUCGGACGCUCCCGCGCGUCCCGAGGCCUCCGGGUGCUGGUCGGAGAGCGCCGCCACCUGAUUGGCCAGCGCCGGCCCUCGGCGGGUCUCGCGCUAUCUGCUGUGGCCAAUGGGACUCCCCGCAGUCUAGAGAGCCGCGUCGCUGGAGCGGUGGCGCAGCUUUUGGCUCGGUCUGGCUGUUCCCCACUGCUCCUCAGUGAUUUGGGGCAGGAAAAGAUUUGGAAAGACAGAAACCAAAGAAGAUGGGAGACUGCCACCAGCAAAGACCAUUUAGAGAAGAAUUUGGGUGCAAAGAGCUUUUCUAGAGAGGUAAGGGAGAAGCAAGGGGUGAUAAGUCUUCAUGCUGAAUGGGGUCUCCAUCACCCAGAGCCUUGUUUUGUUUUUCUCUACUGGAUUAGUUUUGAGGUACCAAUCAGCUUUUGUUCCUAGGCCAGUCCAUGUAGUUUUCUUUAGGUAAAAACACGUGAUUUCUGAGCCAGUUAAAGAUGAUUUCUUUUCAGUUAGAGAAUAAGAUAGCAAAUCAUUCAUCUAUUGUUUGAUCCCAUCCAAAGACAGAUCCUUGAGUUCUGUAAAUCUAGAGAAAAGUAAGUUGUAAGAUGCUGGCCUUGGGACCUGAGUGGAUUAAGGUGCCUGUUACCAAGCACCUGAGAACCUGAGUUUAGUUCCAGGACCCACAUGGUAAAAGGAGAGAACCAGUUCCCACACGUUGCCUUCUGACUUCCACGUCCAUGAGCAAGCACAGUAAUUUUUUUUUAAGGACCUUAGUUGUAAAAAGAAAAAUGUCAAAUACCAUUUGGAGUUCUCAAAAAAAGAUGUAUGUCUGCAGAUACUUAUGUAUGUCUGCAGUGCCUUUGCCCAGGAAUAGCUAACCUUGCAGUUAAUCACUAAACUACUAGCAGCAAGCCAGGGGUGUUUGCUCAUGCUGUGAUCCUGGGCUGAGGCAUGAGGAUCAUGAGGUCCAGACCAACCUAGGACAUAGAAGACUUAGAACAUUAAUACAAAGCCAGAAAGCAAAACAUAACCAUUUGAGCCUAUUAGGUAGCUUAGCUAGUGGGAGACUGAUCAAACAGAAUCUUGCUGUGUAGCCUAGGUUGGCAGCUUCCUGAGUCCUGGCACUGUCAAUGUGUAUUGCCACCAGUGAUUAUUUGCUUGUUUUGUUCUUAAGAGUGGGUCUUACUGUAGUCUAGGCUAGGUUGGGACUUGAGAGUGUGUCUGCCUGAAACAUGCUAGGAUUAGGGCCUAAACCAAUAAAUCUGACCAGAAUUAGUGGGGCUUUUGCUUUGUUUAAAAGUCAACUAAAACAAGUGAAGCUAGAGAGCUUAUAUACCCUUGGGUUAUAGUGCCAGUCUCAGCCUCUUAGAAGUAUAGACAGGGUUCAUUCAAUUACUAUAAGCCAAUGGGGAUUCCUUGAGAGGAAAUACCUCUUACUAAGAUAAUGAUGAUUAUCAGCUCAUUUAAAGUAUAUCUCAAAUAAAAGUAUAUCUCCAUUGGUGGAGAGGUAUGAUGAAGACUUUUUAAGGCUUUACAGUUAGUUGUCCAAACUAAGACCUAGGAUAGCUAUUGUUUGUAACUUGGUUGCACAGUAUCUUACAGUGGCCUUAGUGGAGUUUGUAGUUGACAAUGGUAUUGCAGUGUCAAAAUGUUGGAUACACUGAUGCCAGAAGUCUGUAUUUUCUUCUUCUUCUUCUUCUUCUUCUUCUUCUUCUUCUUCUUCUUCUUCUUCUUCUUCUUCUUCUUCUUCUUCUUCUUUUUUAUACAUAUGUGGAAAGUGUAUUGGGAGAUGGGGGAGGGGGAGACAGAGACAGUAACCUGCCUCCACAGAGAAAUGGCAGAGAAAGAGAAAGUCUGUAUUUUCAUAGUCUGUUUCUUUCCUGCAAGUAAAUAACAAUGGCAACACCAGAUAGAAAAGAACACAGAAGAACAAGGAAAAACAGCUUUUUUUUUUUUUUAAAGAAAUCAAUAACAAGAACUUGGAAAAAAUGAAGGGCAUAUGGAAUCAGUGAAGUUUCUUUUUUUAAUUUCCAAGAUAAAUACCUCUGGGAUACAAGAAGGUAAAAGUCCUUAGUAACUGGGUUAGGUAGGUUUGCAUCAUUUUUCAGGAAGCAUCUUGUCAAGAUGUAUCAACAAAGAAGUCUGUCUUGACCUUUUCUAGGAGAAUCCUGAGGAAAUUAAAUCAAAGCCUUAUGCUCUCCUAUAACUUCAUCCUUUUGAAAAAUUGGAACUACCAGAAUAGUUUCUACAUUGUGACAUGACCAUUGUGAUGGGUUGAGUUUCCACUUUUUGAAAGCUAAUGAAAAAAGUGUGCAUAAUUGGAGAAACAACCUGUGAGAAGGAAAAAAAUUUGCACAGCAAGGACAAGAUUGCUGUUGCUAAUCUAUAGUACAAACAGUAUGGCCUUCGGCUUCUGGGUGAACUGCAUCUGCACACUACUGCAGCCAUCAGCUCCUGGGUGAAAUGCAUCUGCACACUACUGCAGCCAUCAGUUCCUAGAUGAAAUGCAUCUGCACUUUACUGCAUUUAUCAGCUCCUGGGUGAAAUGCAUCUGCACUUUACUGCAGCCAUCAGCUCCUGGGUGAAAUGCAUCUGCACAUUACUGCAGCCAUCAGCUCCUGGGUGAAAUGCAUCUGUACUUUACUGCAGCUAUCAGCUCCUGGGUGAAAUGCAUCUGUACUUUACUGCAGCCAUCAGCUCCUGGGUGAAAUGCAUUUGCACUUUACUGCAGCCAUCAGCUCCUAGAUGAAAUGCAUCUGCACACUACUGCAGCCAUCACUUGGCACUGUCAGUGUUUGGUUUUUUGUUUUUUUAUUUCUGCUGUUACAGGAGAGAUAGAGUGGCAUCUUACAGUGGACUUAAUCUACAUUUCUCUUCCAAUGAUGAUUCUUUUCUCUAAUGAAGAAAUGAGAACCUGUAUUUGCUUCUCUAUAGAUACUUACAACAAUUUUGUUUGUCACCACCACCAAAACUGGAAUCAACUCAGGUCAAUUGGACAAUACAGUUUCAAAAGCUCCAACUUAUGAACAAAACUAACUUGGGACCUCUGUUUUAAUCCAGAAAAAUAUGUAAAUAUAUAAAAAUUAUCACAUAAGAAUAAAAAUUCAUACAUUAGAUUACAUUGUGAAAAGAUGCUUUAGAAAUGUGGCCACAAAGAAGAUUAAAAUGGUAAUCUUAAGUAUUUUAGCUCAGAGAAAUUGUAGUAAAGGUGAAAUCUUUUUUGUUGUUGUGCUCUGAUUUGUAUGUUUUGUAGCUGAGGCUGGCUGGAUGUGAUUCUCCUGGCUAUCUCCAUAAUGCUAGAACUACACGUGUGAGCUACUAUGUCUCGUUUAAGUUUAAAUCUUUUAAAGAAACAGUAAAGCAGAAAAAAGGGGAUCUCAGAAGUAAUAUAGCUACACCUUACCAGAAUAACAAGUGAGGGCUGAUGGAACUCAUGGAGUGUUUGAGAAAAGGAGGCAUUUUUAGUGACAAAUUAGAAAAUGGAAAAUACGAACCACAGAUGGCACAAUAAGAGAAAAAGGAGAAAUAAGAACUCAAUAUCUUUUUAAAAGCUUGCGGCAUGGUAGUGCAGACCUUUAAUCCCAAAGCCUGGAGGCAGAGGCAGGCGGAUCUCUCUGUGAGUUCCAAACAAGUCAGGGACAUAUUCUUAAAAAAAAAAAAAAGACAGGAGAGGCAGCCAAAUAGUUUUUCUCAUGUGAACUGAAGUUCAAUGGUGGUUGUAUAACAUUGUACUUAAUGCCAGUAGAUUGAAAGCUUAAAAAUGGCCUAAAUGGUAAACUUUGUGCUCAUUUUGUCAUAAUAAACCCUGUAAAGUAAAGCAUUGAACUACAACAACUGUCAAGCUACAGUUCCUGAACACUCAACACUAAAGAAGGAUAAAGGCUGGCUCUGCUGAAAGGCACCCCAAGAUCUGGAACUCAGCCCAGAGCACUUAAUACUGAGAUGUAGUAUUGUAAAAAUGGUUGGAUUUUAAAAUCAUGGAAAAAAAAAAAAAGCUCAAGUGGAUUGGAAAAAUAGCACAUGGAUUUGAUGUUUUGGGCAGCUACAUUUCAUUCUAGAUAAUAAAGCAACAGUUUAAAAAACUAUUAAAUGAAAUGCAAUUAUUCAUAUCACCAGACUGUCCUUUAAGAACUUGAGGACAUUGCUAUGUAUGGUGGCAUGCCUAUAAUCUUAGCACUUAGGAGCCUGAGGUAGAUGGAUCAGAGUUCAAGGUCAUCCUCUAUUAAAUAGUAAGUUCCUGGUCAACGUGGUCUACCAAAAGGUUCAGUCACAAAACAAUUUAAGGAUUAUUGUUUCAGUGCUUCCUGAAGGAAUAUACUAGUGAAAAAAUUUCAAACAGUAAAUGAUUCAGGAAAUGUUCAACAUAAAAUCAAGUUGUAAACAUUAAAUAUAUUGUAAUGAUGGGAAUAAUGGUUUUAGAGUUAUGCUAUCUGACAAUGUAGAAAAAAUAUGACCCACUGUCAGGAAGUCUGUUUUAGAGGAAAUAAAGGUACUGCCCCCGAGUUGAAUAUGAG
rnacentral:lncRNA from 1 species